GUUUUUAUAAUUUAAAAUUAAAAUAUUGGUCUUGUAAACCAAAAAUAAGUAUAUUACUUUAAAAACU
rnacentral:tRNA from 1 species